rfam:Xenopus laevis strain J chromosome 7L, whole genome shotgun sequence.
GCCGGGCACAGUGGCGCAUGCCUGUAAUCCUGCUGUUUUGGAGGCUUAGACUGAGGGAUUGUUUGAGUUCAAGAGUUCUAAUCUGCCCUGAGCCAUGUCGAUUGGGUGUCCGCACUAAGUUCCAUUUCAACUUCGUGUUCCUGGGGGAGCUUGGGAUCACCAGGUUGUCUAAAGAGGGGUGAACAGAUUCAGGACAGAGCAUGUCAAAGCCCCCAUGCUGAUCAGUUGUGGGAUAGCACCUACUUCACCCUUUAUUACAAAGCAAAUCUGUACCUCUU